GGAUCAGUACGCUGGUCCUGCCUUUGGUAUGUACUGGUGUCACUGAUUCCUCCCUUCUGAAGAACCGUUAUGCCAUUUAUUUGGUGUGAUGGGAAAUCAGGACUGUUACUUUGAAAAAAUUAGAGUGUUUAAAGCAGACUAUCGUCUGAAUACAUUAGCAUGGAAUAAUGAAAUAGGACGGACUGAUUCUAUUUCGUUGGUUUCUAGGAUCACCGUA
rnacentral:rRNA from 1 species